rnacentral:rRNA from 1 species
UACGGGGGGAGCAAGCGUUGUUCGGAUUUACUGGGCGUAAAGGGCGCGUAGGCGGUCGUGACAAGUCACUUGUGAAAUCUCCGGGCUUAACUCGGAACGGUCAAGUGAUACUGUCGACUAGAGUACAGAAGGGGCAACUGGAAUUCUCGGUGUAGCGGUGAAAUGCGUAGAUAUCGAGAGGAACACCUGCGGCGAAGGCGGGUUGCUGGGCUGAUACUGACGCUGAGGCGCGAAAGCCAGGGGAGCGAACGGG